UAAGGAUCAAAGCAUAUUGUUAGCUUCAAUAUUUCUCUUGCUUAUUCUGACUGAAAGUAAAGGUAGUGUUAUUUUGUUCAUUUAUGUACCCUUACAAUUGUCUUUUAGUAAAUGACUGAGUUAUUUGUUUCUAUUUCAUGCAAGUUUUGCAGAUCUUGAUUGUAUCCUAUCUCCAAUGAGUGGGCCAAGUGAGAAGAGGUAUGGAUGGUAAGUAUUGAUGGAUACAUUCAUUUGAAUUGAAGAGGAUCAUCAUUUUUCAGAAUAUGGCACGUCUAUUUCUAUAAACUUUUAAAAAUCAUUUAUUCUUUAAACAAAGUUUUUUUUUGCUCAAAAAAUUGCGGAGCUUUUUAACUGUGUCAAAAUACAACAACAACAAGCCUUUUUCCUGCUACCAGGUGGGGUUGGCUACAUUGAAAAAAUAUCUCUAUUGACAAACCAUUGACCUUCAAAUCCUUCUUAAUGGUUUUGCCCUUAGUUUUGGCCUUCCUCUACCUCUAGCAAUAUGGAUACCCUCCAUUUAUCUAUUCUCCUUAUUAGGGUGUCCGCAAAUCUUCUCCACCCACCCUUUAACUGUGUCAAAAUACUUGUAUAUAAUCAUGAUCUUGCCUCCGUGAAUCACAAUUGAUGCAUGAGGUUGAGAAGAUUUUGUUCUAUUUAUUUUGCUUUUAAAACCAAUUUUUGACUACAUGCAUUUAUUAUUGAGAAAAUUGCAAAAAAAGGAAUUCUUUGUAAAAAUAUUUAUAACUUAGGAACAUGUAACUAUUGAAGUUGUUGGACAAGUGACUUUAAUAACUUAAGGGAGGGGGGGUGAAUUAAGUUUCAAAAUUUCCCACUAACAAACUUUUAACUCCCUUCUAAAUGAUAGACUUAGAAUGCAGAAGAAGAAGCAAUAAUCAAUUUAAUAAUCUUCUUUAAACAUGUAAGACAAAAUUGACUGCAAUAACAUAAAUGAGAUAAGGGAAAAGAGAAAUGCAAACUCGAUUUAUACUGGUUCGACCAUUUCCCGUGCCUAUGUCCAGUCCUCAAGCAACUCACUUGAAAUUUUCCACUAUCUUUUUAAAUCCUUUACAGACUUUGAACACAUCUUGGGAUCCCUCACCCUUAUGUUCAAAGAUUCUCCAAGAGACAACCCGUCUCUUGAUUACAAUUCUCACAAUCCAAGAGAAAACCAGUCUCUUAAUUACAAUUGACUUUCUGAGAUGAACAGAAAGAUUUAUCUCCUUUAGAAUGGAUGAUACAAAUUGAAGUUUCCAGAGGAAUUUCUCUCUUUUAGAGAUGAUAAUACAAUUUGAAGUUCCUGGAUGAAUUCUCAAUAGAUUUGCAAGUGUUUGUCCAUGAGUUGUUGAGAGAGCAUUUGACAAUUAAAUUCUCUUAGAAUAUCUCUCUCUUGCUUUUCAAAGUCAGACACACAUAUAUAUAGGCCUUUCGUGCCUUUUCAAAAAGUUUUUUCUGAAAUUCUUCACUGGUAAUCGAUUACACAGCUAUAUUUUGAAGGAUCAUGAUUUUUCAAAGUGUUUUCUGAAGUUUCGUUUCUGGUAAUUGAUUAUAAACAUCUGGUAAACGAUUACAUGAUUCAAAAUUUAAAUUCAAAAUCCUUUUUAAAAGCUAUUUUUUAAAAUUGUCUUCUGGUAAUCGAUUACACUACUUGGUAAUCAAUUACCAGAGCCUUGAUCUCUUGAAAACACUUUUUUUGAGACAAAAGCAUGAUCUUGAAUUAAUCUUGAAGCAAUGCUUGUUUAUUGAAGCAACCUUGUGUAUUCAUACAUUCACAUUCUCCCCCUUUUUUGUGAUGACAAUCAUUAUCAACUGAGAAUCAAAUGAUAUCAAAAGAAAAUGUUACUGCUUGUUGGAAUAUAUAAGAAUCAAAUGAUAUCAAAAGGCCUAAUCACAUAAUUGAUGAAUACUUAAUAAACUAUGCUUAAGAUCAUCAAUAAGUAAAGCAUUUUCUAUGGAGGUAGAGAGAUCCGUACCUAUUUUUCCAACUCCAACAAUUUUACCUUUGUUUGUUGUCUCCAUAGAUCACAUAUUCACUAUCUUUGGGAGAAAUAUGAAUAAACUUUGAUGCAUCUCCCGCCAUGUGUUUGGAGCAACCGCUAUUAAUGUAUCAACUUUGCUUCAAGGAGUCCAUUAUUCAUUUAAUCAUAUUUUGAUUUUGGUACCCAAAUUUUCUUGGGUCCUUGAAUGUUUGUUUUGAGUAAGAAUCCUUUUGGAACACAUACCAUUUUUCCAAUGGUACUUCCAUUCUUUAUAAUAUAACAUGUUGAUGCACUAUUGAUCAUUCUAACCAUAGUAAAAACAUGUUAACAAGGGAGAACCAACCUUUUGAGUGGAGACAAAGAAAUUUUUAUGCAUCUUUUGUUGAUUUUCAAGAUUAUAUCCUAAUCCAGCUUUAUCAAAAACACUUUUUUGUUUGCCAAAUACAAUAUCUAAAUUAUUUUUACCAAGAGUAAAUUUGGCAAGAGCAAUUUUUAAAACUUCAAUUUCUUCUUUGAAUUUAUCACAACGUUCACAUGAAUGAGAUGCUUUAUUGUUUUCUUGUAUUAAGCAUUUUGUAGAAGAUUGAUUUUUAUCUAUUGAUUUUAAAGUUUUAACUUCAGAUUUAAGAUUUUCUAACUCUACAUUUAAUUUCAAAAUUUCAUUUUUCUAAACUUAAAAUAGUUUUUUUAGAAUAUGAAACUAAUUUGGCAAGUUUGACAGAUUCUUUAUGCAAGUCAUUGAAUGCAUCUUGGAGUUCACCAAAAGAAAUAGAUAAGUCAUAGUUAGAAGACAUUACCUCUUCUCUGCUUUCAUAAUCUUUGACCAUGAGACCCAAAUUUAUGAUUUUAUUUUCUGAAUCACUUGAAGAAUCCAUAUCAUUAUCUUCCCAAGUGAUGUAUGCUUUCUUUUCUUUGAAAUUUUUCUUGUCGGAUUUUUCCAUUCUCCUUUUAAAGAUAGGACAAUCAAAUCUCAUGUGCCCAGGUUGAUCACAUUCAUAGCAUUUUGGAACUAAGGAAUCUUCUCCUUUCUUCUUUGAAUUGACGUUUGAUCUCCUUUAAUUUCCUUUUUUUCUCAAAUUUAUUGAAUCUCUUCACAAAGGGACUGAAAUCAUCAUCUUUUUCUAAGUUCUUUUCAUUUGAGUCUUCUUUGUCAUUUUCCUCAUGAAUAGAAGAAGAUGAGUCUUUGAGUGCAAUUCCUUUCCUCUUUUUGUCAUUAUCUUCAUGUUGAUGGAGUCUCAUAAGUUCCAUUUCAUGUUCUUGAAGUUUUCCAAAGAAAGUGGCGAGAGUCAUGUUGGUGAGAUCUUUUGACUCCGCAAUUGCUGUUACUUUUGGUUGUCAUUGCCUACUUAAACAUCUCAACACUUUGUUAAUGAGAUCUUCAUUAGGAAAUAUUUUUCCCAAUGAUGCAAGAUGAUUAACUAUAUGUGUAAAUCUCUUUUGCAUAUCUUGUAUGGUCUCAUUUUUAUUCAUUCUAAACAGUUCAUAUUCAUGUGUGAGAGUGUUUAUUCUAUAUCUCUUAACAUCAAUUGUGCCUUCAUGUGUAACUUGUAAUGUAUCCCACAUUUCUUUUUCAUUUUUAUAAUUUGAAACUCUAAAAUACUCAUCUAUGCCUAAUGCAGAAGUGAUUAUAUUUUUGGCCUUUAAAUUCUAUUGAACCCUUUUUCUUUCAUCAUCAUUCCAUUCUUCUCUAGGUUUUUCUGUAGUUGUAUUUCCCACUACCAUUGUUGGAAUGAAAGGACCAAUUUUAAUGGCUUCCCAUAUAUUUAAAUCUAUGACUUCUAUAAAGAUUUGCAUUCGGAUUUUCCAAUAGUGAUAACCCUUACCAUUGAAAACAAGAGGCCUAUUAAUAGAAUUUCCUUCAGGAAAUGGAAAAUUAGAUGAGGCCAUAAUUAUUCUUGAAGUUUUUAAACUUUAAACAAGAAUCCUGCUCUGAUAUCACUUGUUGGACAAGUGGCCUCAAUAACUUAAGAUGAGGGUGAAUUAAGUUUCAAAAUUUCCCACAAACAAACUUUUAACCCCCUUCUAAAUGAUAGACUCAUAAUACAGAAGAAAAAACAACAAUCAAUUUAAUAAUGUUCUUUAAACAUGCAAGACAAAAUUGACUGCAAUAACAUAAAUGAGAUAAGGGAAUAGAGAAAUGCAAACUCGAUUUAUACUGGUUCGGUCACUUCCCGUGGCUACGUCCAGUCCUCAAGCAACCCACUUUAGAUUUUUCACUAUCUCUGUAAAUCCUUUACAGACUUUGAACACACCUUGGGAUCCCUCACCCUUGUGUUCAAAGAUUCUCCAAGAAACAACCCGUCUCUUGAUUACAAUUUUCACAAUCCAAGAGACAACCAAUCUCUUGAUUACAAUUGACUUUCUGAAAUGAACAAAAAGAUUUCUCUCCUUUAGAGUGGAUGAUAAAAAUUGAAGUUCCUAGAGGAAUUUCUUUCUUUUAGAGAUGAUAAUACAAUUUGAAAUUCCUGGAUGAAUUCUCAAUAGAUUUGCAAGUGUUUGCCCAUGAGUUGUUGAGAGAGCAUUUGACAAUAAAGUUCUCUUAGAAUAUCUCUCUCUUGCUUUUCGAAGUUAGACACACAUAUAUAUAGGUCAUUCGUGCCUUUUCAAAAUGGUUUGAUGAGAUGUGUCUUUUCAAAAAGCUUUUUCUGAAAUUCUUCACUAGUAAUCGAUUACAGGUUUUUGGUAAUCGAUUACACAAUUAUAUUUUGAAGGGUCAUGAAUUUUCAAAGUGUUUUCUGAAGCUUUGUUGCUGGUAAUCGAUUAUAAACAUCUGGUAAUCGAUUACAUGAUUCAAAAUUCAAAUUCAAAUUCAAUUUGAAGUUCCUGGAUGAAUUUUCAAUAGAUUUGCAAGUAUUUGCCCAUGAGUUGUUGAGAGAGCAUUUGACAAUUAAGUUCUCUUAGAAUAUCUCUCUUGCUUUUCGAACUUAGACACACAUAUAUAUAGGCCCUUCGUGCCUUUUCAAAAUGGUUUGAAGAGAUGUGUCUUUUCAAAAAACUUUUUCUGAAAUUCUUCACUAGUAAUCGAUUAUAGAAAUUUGUAAUUGAUUACACAGUUAUAUUUUGAAGGGUCAUAACUUUUUAAAGUGUUUUUUGAAUUGUCGUUGCUGGUAAUCGAUUACAAACAUCUGUUAAUUGAUUACAUGAUUCAAAAUUCAAAUUCAAAUUCAAAACCCUUAUUAAAAGUUGUUUUUCAAAAUUGUCUUUUGGUAAUUGAUUACACUACCUGGUAAUCAAUUACCAGAGCCUUGAUCUCUUGGAAACACUUGUUUUGAGACAAAAGCUUGAUCUUGAAUUAAUCUUGAAGCAAUGCUUGUUUGUUGAAGUAACCUUGUAUUAAUCUUGAAGCAAUGCUUAACCUUUGAAUGUUUGUUGAAGUAAUCUUGAAAGCAACCUUGUUUGAUUAUUCUUUGGCAUAAUCAAAAUCAUGUAUUUAUACAUUCACAGAAGUGGCUAAAAAUAUCUGGUUAAUAGCUUAUAUCUGUUGGUUUCAGAUGCAUUAUAUGUUUUAUGUUUUUUCAGUUCAGUCUUUGUCUCUGCCUGUUUCAGUUGCAGACUAAUGACACAUCAAUAUCUAAGUUUGUGGAUGAAAGUAUCUUUAGAUUUAUGCUAGAUGUAUAUACAACUUUAUUUUUGAUGUGUUCAAUUGAAUUAUCCUUCAUUAUUAUUUUUGUUGUGUAGUUUUGGUAGAAUUGGGGUUCCACAGAGCAUGCAAAGUAACAAAAUUGCCAUCUCCUUUUAAAUUUGACAGAUUUUAAAUGCCUUGCUAAAUGUUUUAGCCUUCCAGCAACCCCUCUCUAUAAUGGUGCUAUGGCAUGCAGGGUGGUGCUUGCAAAAGCUACUCAUCUUCCAUAGAGAGGGACUUAGUGGAGAUAAUCUUCUCCUAUUCAUUGUAAGUAUUCAAUAGCUUCAGCUAAUUUCUUAACACACUAUUACAAGUGGAUUUCUACUUGCGUGGAGACAUACUUGUAUUCUAUCACAUGUAUGACUAGGUGGAUUACAUUUGAUGUAUCAAUUUUGUAAACUUGUUUAGCUUUUGAUUUUUUUUUUCCUGGAGUUUCAGUUCAGUAUAUUUCUACCAUCUAUUGUCAAGUCUCAGAUUAUCUAAGCUAGGUACAAAUUUAGGCAGAAUAGCAUAGUUGUUAUGUAAAAGUGUAUCAUCAAGCUCAUGAUUAGUUAUAUGUAAGCCGCAAGAACAAAAAUUGUUUCUCCUAAUGUUCUAGGACUAUAGGUUCUUCCUACAAGUUUCUCUUUUAAAUAAAGAUGAUAUCAUGAUAGAUUAUGCAUGUUAUUGUGAUCAUGUGUGUAAAUCUUGUGUGGGUUUGAACAAUGAGCAUAUCAUUUCUAGGUUUGAGAAUAUGUAUGGUAGAUGAAAAAUGUCAAAGAAAAUAAAUAGUAAUUUACUUUGGAUGAUGCAGAGAUAUGAACUUAUAUAUGUGUGUGUAAAACGUAUCAUAUGAGGAUGACAAUCUUAAGUGAGAAUGAAAAUGGUUAAUCUCAAUCAUUAGAUUAAAAUCAAAGGCCAAAAUCAAAACAUUUUAAAUUAAAAUCUUAUUUGACCAUAAAAUCUCUAUAAUAUUUACUAAACAAAAAAUCAAAUAUCUUAAAGAUUUAAUUUAUACCCUUUAUCGAAGAAAAAAAGAUUUAAUUUAUGUCAAAAUUGUCGUCACCACAACAACCUCCACUAUGAUCGCCGUCAUGACCACCAUCGUCGCCAUCAACAUGAUUGUUGCUGUUGCCAUGCCAACACUAUCGCCGAUGGUGGUGGCAGUGACAACAACAGUGAUCAUGUUGGUGACGAUGAUCAUAGGGCGGUGGUAGUGGUGGUGGAUAGUAAUGGUGACGAUAAUCAUGGUGGUUGUGGUGGUGGCCAUGACAAUUGUGCUGAAAAUGAUCAAGACGCUUGUGAUGGUAAUCGUGGUGAUAGGUUUGAGAUAUUUUAGGAUAUCAUAAAUUAAAUCUUUUAAGAUAUUUGAUUUUUUGUUUGGUAAUUUUUUAGAGAUUUUAUGGUUAAAUAAUGUUAAUUCGAAUUUAAAAUGUUUUAACUUUUACCUUUCAUUUUAAUCUAACAUUGAGAUUGAUUAUUCUCAUUCUUGCAUAAGAUAAUCAUUCUCAUAUGAUAUGUUUCUCUCUCUCUCUCUCUCUCUAUAUAUAUAUAUAUGAUUUCUUGUAUUUUGGUGCGUUGGUGCUGUUGCUAAUUGAUAUUGGUUGGCUUAAAGGUUUUAAAUUACCUAAUAAUUCUAGAAAGUAACUUAACUAUGCAUAAAUUAAGCUAGAAUUGUCUUGAAUUUUGGAAAAGUUAUUGUCAUGAAUCAAUUAUUCCUAAAGCUCAAGUUGUUAAAUGAAAACUCAUGAAAUACUUUAUUUUACAUUUCUAGCAUGCCCUCUCAUGCAAAAGUCCUUAGGUUUGAAAUGUGGGAAUGCCCAGACCUAUCUAUCUUGUGCCGAAUUAAACUUAAGGCCACCAGUCAUAGAAGUGUACCCAAAUGAUUUGGCAAUUAGCUGAGACCAUGACUUGAUACUUUGCUUUUUUUUUUUUUUAUCUUGUAAUCAUAUAUUGCUUCUCAAAUUUUCAAGAUAUGAGGUUAUCCUUGAUGAUACAUUGUUAUGAUGGCGAUAAAGGAUACAUAUUUUUUUGUCAUUUUUACAAAGCCCUUUUUUUCACCUAAUGUCAUUCUCCCCUGUUUGACCCACAUUGAUACCCCCCGUCAUCAAAGACUUGAACUCUGGCAACUACCGCCAUAUAAGAUAUCUUCACAACCUCUUGUCCCUUUUUUUUUUUUUUCAGUUUAUUCUUUUUCUUCACAGCAUUUAUUUAUUAUUUUUUUUUCUGUUCUUCUCUUUUUAUUUUAUUCUGAUCUAUCUUUUUUUUUUUCCUGUACUUUGUUUGUUUUACAUUCUCUUUUUUUUCUAUUUUUUUCUUGGUCCUUUUUUUCCCUUGAUCAUCUCCUUCUGAAAACCGAAGCCAACUUCAAACACCACCACAACAAUGUCAAUAUUGACAUUUUUAGUUUUAUGGCUUUUAUCUUUCUUGUUAGUGUUGUUAUGAUAUACAUAUGUGAUUUUUUUAUUACAUCUUUUGUUUUGGAUAAGAUAUGCAUGUUAUUGGAAGUAAAUAUUGAUUUAUCCAUGUUAUUACAGGUUCAUUAGCAUCAUCAAUUACAAAAUUGCAUUUGUGCAUUCAAAAUUUCUAGUUUUAUAGUUUCUAGUUUCCAUCGGCAGACUUCAUAUGAUCAGUCUCGUGUAAACUUUCUGAAUUUGGUUCGAUCAUAUUCCAGAUACUCUAAUAACAG
rnacentral:lncRNA from 1 species